CUUUACUCUUUUCUCAAACCCUCCCCACACUAUUUUUCAUCUUUCUCAAAUUUCUUUCACCCUUCUCAAUCUCGAUCACUUUCUUCCCUCUCUUCUUCGAUAGCUGCUCAAUCUCAUCACUUUCCGACCGGCUCUACCACUUACUUGAACUACUUGACCACCGCAACCACCGGCACAGCCCAUGUCGAACUUCCGUCUUCACUAUCGCUUCUUUUCAGUUACUCUUUAUCUUCUUCUCCUUUCAUUUUCUCUCUCUUUCAGCCAUUCGCAGGACGUUGAUGAUGAAUCCGAUCAAGAUUCUCUGGUCUCUCGCUUUCAAUGCUACCUCAGAAUCUAAACCGCACAUCCAGAUCCCGAUUACGCCUCCGCCGUCGCCUUCCUCAGAUCUCAAGCACAAGAAAUCGGUCUCCAUACGCAGGCACUCGAGUUUGGUCCAGGUAAGCCUCUUCUUCUUGUGACUUGGUAUGGGUCAUACGCAGGCACAGAAGUCGCCUCCGCUAAUCCUCCAUCUCCCAGACCUGUAGCAGCCAACCGCGCGCAGCCAUCUGAGCCGAUUGUUGUGACGAAGGUGGAUACUGAAAUACAGCUGGUGCGGAAGGUGGAAGAGGUUAGCGAUAGUGAUGGCGAUGGCGAUGUAGAGAGUGCCGAUGGCAGUAAGGUUGGGCGAGGACGGAAGUUGAUGGAGAGAGUAUGAUUUUGGUUAUGGCGGUAUAUUAUGCAUUGAGGUGGUCUGUACAUCCAUGAAAAGUAAGGAACUAUCAUUAUUUUAUGUUGUUCCAUUGUUAGCCGAGCACAUCUAUGGAGGAACUCUGUUAGCCAUGUGUACCAAUGAUUUUAUAUGUUUCUAUGAUUGGGCAGAGGGCAGACUGAUCCGCCGUAUUGAUGUAAAUGUGAAGAACCUUUAUUGGGCUGAUAGUGGUGAUUUGGUGGCAAUAGCCAGUGAUACAUCAUUUUAUAUCCUGAAGUACAAUGUAAGAAUACUUGUUAAAUAACAUCAUAAUUUCAGGUAACCACAAUGUUCCAUUUGGAUCGACCCAUGUAUUUGCUUGGAUAUCUUGCCAGCCAAAGUCGGGUCUAUUUGAUAGACAAAGAGUUCAAUGUCGUUGGAUACACAUUGAAGUGUUAAGACCCUUGUAAUGCGUGGGGACUAUGAAAGAGCCAACGAAAUCUUACCUUCAAUUCCCAAGGAGCAUCGUAACAGUGUGGCCCGUUUCUUGGAAGCACGAGGUAUGAUAGAGGAAGCUCUGGAAGUAGCUACUGAUCCAGAGGAGUAUCCUAAUUUGUUUAAUGAUUGGCAAGUUGCACUUUCUGUUGAAUCUAGAGCUGCACAAGACAGGGAGUUAUCACUAAAAAAAUGACUGCAAUAGAAGAAAUGGUUGCAAGUGAGUAAAAUUAGCCAGACCCUCAUCUUUGUGACAAGAUCUUGAAGUUAGUCAUUUGUGAAGCGUUCUAGUUUGCUAUUAGUUGCAGUUUUAGUUAUUGCUCUCUCAAUAUAUUCUUUUUCUUUUUUUUUUUCAAAGGAUGAUCGGUGUAAUAAUUAAGCUUCAUAAUUUCUGUGUUUGGAUCCAAGUUGUAUAUAAAUGUACACAUUAUUAAGAUUUCAUUUUGUAUAUGUACAAGUAAAAGAUUUCAUUUUUAA